rnacentral:snRNA from 1 species
AUCGCUUCUCGGCCUAAUGGCUAAGAUCAAAGUGUAGUAUCUGUUCUUAUCAGCUUAAUAUCUGAUACGACUCGCACUGUGAGUCCAGUAUAUUAAACUUAUUUUUGGAAACAGGUGAGAUGUUAGGGCUCCACUCUUGCCACGGAUCGGCCCGGUAUUGCAGUACCGCCGGGAUCGGUCCAACAACC